GACGAACGCUGGCGGCGUGCUUAACACAUGCGAGUCGAACGGAAAGGCCCUGCUUUUGUGGGGUGCUCGAGUGGCGAACGGGUGAGUAACACGUGAGUAACCUGCCCUUGACUUUGGGAUAACUUCAGGAAACUGGGGCUAAUACCGGAUAGGAGCUCCUGCUGCAUGGUGGGGGUUGGAAAGUUUCGGCGGUUGGGGAUGGACUCGCGGCUUAUCAGCUUGUUGGUGGGGUAGUGGCUUACCAAGGCUUUGACGGGUGGCCGGCCUGAGAGGGUGACCGGCCACAUUGGGACUGAGAUACGGCCCAGACUCCUACGGGAGGCAGCAGUGGGGAAUAUUGCACAAUGGGCGGAAGCCUGAUGCAGCAACGCCGCGUGCGGGAUGACGGCCUUCGGGUUGUAAACCGCUUUCGCCUGUGACGAAGCGUGAGUGACGGUAAUGGGUAAAGAAGCACCGGCUAACUACGUG
rnacentral:rRNA from 1 species